rnacentral:rRNA from 1 species
GUCGAGCGGUAGCACAGAGAGCUUGCUCUCGGGUGACGAGCGGCGGACGGGUGAGUAUUGUCUGGGAAACUGCCUGAUGGAGGGGGAUAACUACUGGAAACGGUAGCUAAUACCGCAUAAUGUCGCAAGACCAAAGUGGGGGACCUUCGGGCCUCAUGCCAUCAGAUGUGCCCAGAUGGGAUUAGCUAGUAGGUGGGGUAAUGGCUCACCUAGGCGACGAUCCCUAGCUGGUCUGAGAGGAUGACCAGCCACACUGGAACUGAGACACGGUCCAGACUCCUACGGGAGGCAGCAGUGGGGAAUAUUGCACAAUGGGCGCAAGCCUGAUGCAGCCAUGCCGCGUGUGUGAAGAAGGCCUUCGGGUUGUAAAGCACUUUCAGCGGGGAGGAAGGCGAUAAGGUUAAUAACCUUGGCGAUUGACGUUACCCGCAGAAGAAGCACCGGCUAACUCCGUGCCAGCAGCCGCGGUAAUACGGAGGGUGCAAGCGUUAAUCGGAAUUACUGGGCGUAAAGCGCACGCAGGCGGUCUGUCAAGUCGGAUGUGAAAUCCCCGGGCUCAACCUGGGAACUGCAUUCGAAACUGGCAGGCUAGAGUCUUGUAGAGGGGGGUAGAAUUCCAGGUGUAGCGGUGAAAUGCGUAGAGAUCUGGAGGAAUACCGGUGGCGAAGGCGGCCCCCUGGACAAAGACUGACGCUCAGGU